AGUUUUAUAGUCAAUAAUGAUAUUAAAUUGCAAAUUUAAAGGUAAACAUUAGUUUUAAAGCUU
rnacentral:tRNA from 1 species